AACGAACGCUGGCGGCGCGUUUUAAACAUGCAAGUCGAACGAGAGCCCUGGUGCUUGCACCGGGGGGAAAGUGGCGAACGGGUGAGUAACACGUGGAUAAUCUGCCUCUAGGAUGGGGACAACGUUCCGAAAGGAACGCUAAUACCGAAUAAGAUAACAGUUAAAAUAUAGCAGUUAUUAAAGGUGGGACCGCAAGGCCUACCGCCUGGAGAUGAGUCCGCGGCCCAUUAGCUUGUUGGUGGGGUAAUGGCCUACCAAGGCGACGAUGGGUAGCCGGCCUGAGAGGGUGAACGGCCACAUUGGGACUGAGAUACGGCCCAGACUCCUACGGGAGGCAG
rnacentral:rRNA from 1 species